rnacentral:rRNA from 1 species
UACAGAGGGUGCGAGCGUUAAUCGGAAUUACUGGGCGUAAAGCGUGUGUAGGUGGUAAGAUAAGUUAGAUGUGAAAUCCCCGGGCUUAACCUGGGAACUGCGUUUAAAACUGUCUAACUAGAAUACUGUAGAGGAUAGUGGAAUUUCCAGUGUAGCGGUGAAAUGCGUAGAUAUUGGAAGGAACACCAGUGGCGAAGGCGACUAUCUGGAUAGAUACUGACACUGAGACACGAAAGCGUGGGGAGCAAACAGG